AGAGGUAAGGUUAAUUUGACUAUAUCAUCUGACACUCCAUUGGUUACCAAGGGUGAUUUGACUGAUAUGGAUAUGGAUAUGAUAUGGAUACUGAUGUGGAUAUGAUAAGGAACCCAGGAGGUUCCUUCCUCCCUAGCCACUCCAUAUGUGUCUUUUCUGAGCUAUAUACUGGUUUCGAGAGGUUGACCUUCCUUCCUAGAGGAAGACAGUUACUCAGUCAAGAAGAUAUGAAUAGCUGCACUCUUCUCAAAUAUUCCCUGAAGACUAAUGAGACCUCUAGCCCACGCCUUCUCUAACUCAGCCCUCCACAUUGUAAGCACUAUCUUCUCCACAACCUGAACACAUUAUGGGCUGAG
rnacentral:snRNA from 1 species